UUUUUUUUUUUUUUUUUUUUACCAGCAGCAUUACACACACACACACACACAGAUGUGUGGUCUUGCACUUAGCAACGCUGCUGCAGUCAGAAGUGGUGCUGCUUCUGUGUCCCCAGUCUGAGUGGCCUGCUCCAGGCUGGUCUCUGGUGCCCAGAAUGACAUCUGCAAAACACAACGCCGCAGGCUCAUGUAAGGGAGCCCCAGCCACUCUCACCAGGGCUGCCAGCGAUACUCAGAGCUCCUCUCAGCUCUGUGUGGACCAGAGCCUGAAGCUGGUGAGGCCAAGGUAAAAUGAUACCGAGAGAGAGUCAUAAAAAGCGAGAGGCCAUUGAGACAAGCCGGCACCAAAUACGUAAGUAGGCAUCAAGGUCCCCACCUCCUCACGUGAGCACAUUUUAAUCUCUUUCCUUCCUUUGGGUGCACUCUCUCAGCCUUUCCUUGAGAACAAUCUUUGGGAAACCUCCCCUCUGUGGUUAUUAUGGCAUUAUAGUCAUGAUAGGAUGUUCUUUGUUCCUGUUACUCUUGGUGAUCUGUCCAAUGUGUGAGGGUGGAACCCUCCCAGGGAGCACUUGACUUGGAGCACCAAGUCCUGCUCCUUGUCACAGAUGUGCUACCUAACAUGGAAAUAAACUUGAGAAAUCCAUGUGAUCGCUCCCUGCCUAUUUCUUCACCUGAGACAGACAAGGUGUUUUUCUUGUCUCUAUCGAGGACCCGAUGGGAUACCACACACACAAAGGCCCAAUCUCCUUUUGUUUGGCAAUGGAUCCUUGAGUGUUUAUUGACAUGAAUUUCAAUCAGAAGAAAAAGGCCACCUUUAUUCCUCCCCACUGGUUCCUGCAGAGCUCAAGGCAGCAUAUAUUACAAACCCAGGCCCUAAAAGGAACUGCUCACACCACCCCCUCCCUGGGCUGUCCUCCCUGGAGCUGAAGCCAACCCACAUUCUGGAGCCCCUAGGGCUUAGAUCUUUGGAGCCCUCACUCAAUUCCAGGGUUAGCAGGGCCCUUCUUAUGCCUUUUUUUUUUUUUUUUUAAGAUUUUACUUAUUUAUUUAUGAGAGACACACAGAGAGAGGCAGAGACAUAGGCAGAGGGCGGGCCUGGAUCCCAGGAACCCAGGAUCAUGACCUAAGCUAUAGACGGAUGCUCAACCACUGAGCCACCCAGGUGCCCUCUGUGUCUCUUUACACAAUGAAAACAUCUGCUGAGCAGAUCCCAACCUCCAUUCCCACAGAUCCUGUCUUCAAAUCAGACCUCAAAAAUCCACAUUCUCUUCCUCUAUCUGCUGCCUCACCUUCAGAAGAGAACACACAAAACAGAGAUACCAGAACAUCUAAUCUCAUGAAGAUGAGACCUGGGGGCUGCCCUAUCCACAGGGGACCAUGCAAAAACUUUGUUCCAGGGACCCAGAACAGGACACAGUGGAAAGGAACACGGGACUGAAAUCCAGGACUCUCGGCUUUAGCGGUUCUGCACGGCCCUGAGCAGUAACUGAAUCUCUGACUUACCAUCCUAACCCACCGCAUCCCCAGGCCCUGUGAAGAUCCAGUGUGGCAACGUCCAGGAAGGCACUUUGCAAAUGAUGGAGCGCCAUGCAAACAACAGGUGCCCUGCAGAUGCACCCUGUCCUGCUUCAGGACUUGCCAUCACAAUUUUUAACUGAAAAUUUUCUUUCACGCUAAAAUACAUAGGUUUUUUUAAAAAAAAGAAAAUGGCAGAUUCAACAGCCUACCAUACCAAGUACUUUCCUGUCAGUGUUUACCCAGUGUUUACAAGCCCUCUCCUUACCGGCACAACAUUUUGUGCACGGUUGCCCGUGAAAGAAGUAUUUAUUGACUACUGUUAAGGUCCGGGCACCGUGCUGGGUACUGUAGAUUGGGCAACAACCAACCACAAAACACAAAAUCUUUGCUUUAAUGUUCCAAGGGGAAGAGGCAAUGAACAGACAUAUCCAAUAAGCCAGACAGUGACGAGGCAAAGAUUCGCCUUUAAAAACCCCGUGUUUUCGGCAGCCCUGGUGGCUCAGUGGUUUAGUGCCACCUUCAGUCCAGGGCCUGAUCCUGGAGACAUGGGAUCAAGUCCCAUGUCGGGCUCCCUGGAUGGAGCCUGCUUCUCCCUCUGCCUGUGUCUCUGCCUCUCUCUCUCCUCUCUGUAUAUUUUCAUGAAUAAGUAAAUAAUUUUUUUUUAAAAAAAAUAAAAACCCCAUGUUUUAAAAACCAAAGUGAGGGGACACCUGGGUGGCUCAGCGGUUGAGUGUCUGCCUUCAGCUCAGGUCGUGAUCCCGGGGUUCUGGGAUCAAGUCCGACAUCGGGCUCCCCGCAGGGAGCCUGCUUCUCCCUUUGUCUGUGUCUCUGCCUUCUCUCUCAUGAUAAAUAAAAAUAAAUAAAAAUUAAAAAUUAAAAAAAAAACACAGUGAAGUCGGGUGGUGCUAUUUCAAAUAAGGUGAUCGGGAAGGCCUUCUCUGAGAAGGUGACAGCUGAGCAGAGAGACUCGACAGGAGCAACGCAGUAAGCCAUGGACAUAUGUGGGGGAUGGGUGUGCAGGCACAGGGGAGAGCAAAGUGCCUCUGACCAUGGCAGGGGAGCCAGGGGGACAACGCAGACGGAUCAGAGACAUGGUGGGGUGCCAGGGGAGAGGAGCCAGACAGCAAGCAGGCCUUGUAGCUUCGUGGGCAAGGCUCAGAAUUUCAUUCUGAGUGAAGAUGCCACCAGAAGGUGCCAAGUGGAGUGCUGGCGCAAUUGUGACACAUCACAAUUUCACUUUCCAAUCACUCCUGCCAGGGUACAGGAAUACAGUCAAUUUUUGCAUCUUGACCAUGUAUCCAAUGACGUUGCCAAAUUCACUUAUUAGUUAAGAUUAUUUAGAAUUCUGUCUUCUGCAAACAAAGAUAAUUUCACUGCUUCCUUUCCAACCCUUAUGGCUUUUAUUUCAUUCUGUUGCCUGAUGACACUGGCUGGGACUUCCAGUCCUGUGCUGCACAGAGUGGCAUACGCGGACUUCCCUGCCUCACUCCUGAUCAAGGGGGAGAACAUUCAGUGUUUCACAGUUUUGAGUGGUAUCAGCUGUGGGUUUUUGAAAGCUGUCCUUUAGCACAUUGUGGAAUUUCCCUUUUAUUCUGAGUUUGCUGAGAGUUUCUGGUCAUAAACACACUGAGUUUUGUCACAUGCUUUUUUCUGCAUCUAUUGCCAAAAUCAUAUAAUUUUCCUUUUUUUAUUCAAUUAAUGUGGGGUAUUACAUUCAUUGAGUUUCACAUGUUAAACCAACCCUGCAUUCCUGGAGGAACACCACUUGGUCAUGAGGUAUCAUUACUGCUGUAUUCAGUAUGCUAGCAUUUCAUUAUUUUUGCAAGAAAUAUUGUUCUGUAACUUUUUUCUUUUUUCUUUAACGAUUUUAUUUAUUUAUUCAUGAGAGGCACAGAGAGAGAUGCAGAGACAUAGGCAGAGGGAGAAGCAGGCUCCCUACGGGGAGCCUGAUGCAGGACUCAAUCCCAGGACCCCAGGAUCAUGGGCUCAACCACUGAGCCACCCAGAGGUCCUUUUUUCCUUUUUUAAAAAUCAUGGUUAUGCUGGCCUCAUGAUACUAUCUGGAAAACAUUUUCCUCUUUCCUUUUCCUCUAUUAAAGAGUUUAUGUGAGAGUGGUACUAUUUCUUCCUUAAGUGUCUUCUAAAAGUCACUAAUAUAGCCAUUUGGGCCUGGAGUUUUCUUUGUGAAAAAGUCUUCUAGUGUCAAUUUCAAUAAUUUGUGUCUUUAAUGGAAUUUAUCCAUUUCAUCUAAUUUAUUGAGCUUAUUGAUACAAAGUGGUUCACAAUAAUCCAUUUUCCUCUUCUAUCUGUAAGAUGUAUGUAAGAGUCCCUUUUUCAUUGCUCAUACUGGCAAUUUAGUUUCCUCUCCUUUUCCUUCAUUAGUCUUCUUGGGGGUUUAUCAAUUUUAUUCAUCUUUUUAAGAGCCAACUUGUGUUUUUAUUGAUUAUUCCCUAUCACAUGUCUGUGUUUUUCAUUUACCUUCCUCUUAUCCUUUGUCACACAUCUAAACUCCUAAAUAAAUUGCUACUGUUUGGCUUUAAGCCAUCAAUUGUUUUUGAUGAGUUUUUAAAAUGAGAAAAUUAAUUCUUUUAUAUUUACAACAUAUUUCCCUUUUCUGGCACUUUUAAUUCCUUCAUAUGGAUCCAUAGUCUAUCGGUGGCAUGUCCCUUUGGGCUGAAGACUUUCCUUUAAUGAUCCUAAUUCUGCAAGUCCACAGAGAACAGCUUCCCUCAACUUUUGUCAAUCUGAAAAUGUCUUUGUUUGAAGUUUAUUUUUGAAAGAUAUAUUUUUUCCAGAACGUUAAAGACAAUGUCCUAUUGUCCUCUGCUUUACAUUUUUUUUUUAUCCUUUCACUUUAUUGGAGUUCAAUUUGCCAACAUAUAGUGUAACACCCAGUGCUCAUCCCAUCAAGUGCCCCCCUCAGUGCCCAUCACCCAGUCACCCCCACCCCGCUCACCUCCCCUUCCACCACCCCUUGUUCGUUUUCCAGAGUUAGGAGUCUCUCCUGUUCUGUCACCCUCUCUGAUAUUUUCCACUCAUUUUUUCUCCUUUCCCCUUUAUUCCCUUUCCCCUUAUUAUGAUAAGAAGUCAACUAUAGGGCAGCCCAGGUGGCUCAGCAGUUUAGCGCCACCUUCAGUCCAGGGUGUGAUCCUGGAGACCCAGGAUCGAGUCC
rnacentral:lncRNA from 1 species